UAACCAUGAUGGGGGCAUUGAAUGAGCAACAUCUUGAACCUUUCCCAUGCCUCAUGGAACGGUUCGCCCUCAGCUUGCGAGAAAGUUGCAAUUUUCCUUCUUAAUUC
rfam:Ipomoea nil DNA, scaffold: scaffold1110, cultivar: Tokyo-kokei standard.